rnacentral:rRNA from 1 species
GGGAAAGCUAACAUGGCAGGUCGAACGGAGUUAUUAUUCAGAAGUUCUUCGGGAUGGAAGGAUAAGAACUUAGUGGCCGUUGGGUGAGUAACGCGUGGGUAACCUGCCCUUUUGUGGGCAACAACUUCGAGAAAUCGGAGCUAAUACCGCAUAAUAAUAGAGGAUCGCAUGAUUCUUUAAGGAAAGAUGGCCUCUGAAGAUGCUAUCGCAAAAGGAUGGACCCGCGUCUGAUUAGCUAGUUGGAAGGGUAACGGCCUACCAAGGCAACGAUCAGUAGCCGGCCUGAGAGGGUGAACGGCCACAUUGGGACUGAGACACGGCCCAAACUCCUACGGGAGGCAGCAGUAGGGAAUCUUCCACAAUGGACGAAAGUCUGAUGGAGCAACGCCGCGUGAGUGAAGAAGGGUUUCGGCUCGUAAAGCUCUGUUGGUAGUGAAGAAAGAUAGAGGUAGUAACUGGCCUUUAUUUGACGGUAAUUACUUAGAAAGUCACGGCUAACUACGUGCCAGCAGCCGCGGUAAUACGUAGGUGGCAAGCGUUGUCCGGAUUUAUUGGGCGUAAAGCGAGUGCAGGCGGUUCAAUAAGUCUGAUGUGAAAGCCUUCGGCUCAACCGGAGAAUUGCAUCAGAAACUGUUGAACUUGAGUGCAGAAGAGGAGAGUGGAACUCCAUGUGUAGCGGUGGAAUGCGUAGAUAUAUGGAAGAACACCAGUGGCGAAGGCGGCUCUCUGGUCUGCAACUGACGCUGAGGCUCGAAAGCAUGGGUAGCGAACAGGAUUAGAUACCCUGGUAGUCCAUGCCGUAAACGAUGAAUGCUAAGUGUUGGGAGGUUUCCGCCUCUCAGUGCUGCAG